rnacentral:pre_miRNA from 1 species
UCUGCCGGGCCCACCCAGCCAGGAAUGUGCACCUAGAUUGUUUCCGGCUCGAGUGGGUGCGCUGGAGG